ACCGUCUUCCCGCGGAGGCGGCGGGCCCUGCGGAGCGUAGACGCCCCGGUGAGGGUGCGCUAGAGGCGGGGGUCUCUGGGAGACGCCGCUCCUCCCCGAGGGCAACGCUCCCGGCCUCUGCCGCCUCCUGCCUUGGCUUUCUCCCGCCGCCGCGCACAGUACUUGGUGUCCCGUCCCUCCCGAUGCAUCUCGCCUCGAGUUUUCUAGAGGAGAAUUCGGAUUUUCCUGUAAUUCCUGUGCGUUUCCAGUACGUCGGACAGAAGUGAACGCGUGGCUGAACUGGCUGAAAAUUCCGAAGGUUGGCAAGUUAUGAUCAAGGCAGCUGUAGAUGCGGUGUCUUGUGAGGACCCACUAACUCGUUCAUAAACUGAUUCCAGCUGCCUGGUUACUGUCCCUAAAUCUCUUCUUGGAUUUUGCAUACCCCUUAGCAUACACCCAGAGGUGACGCCACUGCCUCCUCCUCCUCGCUACGUUUCUGUUUGAUGAGAUCAGCAUGGUGCCAGCAAGAACAACAAAGGUGGGUUUUGAGAUGCUACCAGCCAGAAGAAAAAUGGAGGUUCUUGGAGGAUGCCAAAUUAAACAGAUGAAUGCCCAGAGACAGAGGGCAGGACACUUACUUUUAAAGAUGUCAAACAACAAAAUGAGAUGAAGGGAGUUAUCAGAAGACCCAGGUAGGAAUUUGACUACAUCCAUCCUCACACAGAACACAUGCAACUCAAUAUUGUUAAUUAGAUAAAGUCUAUCCUGCAGUUUCCCCCAAGUGGUACCACCUUUAUUUUUCCCUUCCUCAUGGCACCCAAUAUACUGAGAAGCAGGGAACACAGUCCUUAAGAUUUUGGGCUCUGAGUUAGAGAAACCUGGGCAGUGAGGUAGUGAUGGAGCUUAUUAAGGACAUGUUAUUGGGCAAGUAAUUUUAUCUAUAAAAUGGAGAUAAGUAACAGUACUCACACCACGAAGGGAUGUGGUGAGAAAUGUAUCUGGAACAGGAAUGUAAUAUCCAGCACAUGCUAAACGCUCAGCAAACAUUAGCCAUUACUACUAGUAUGUUCCCCAUGUAAACGGGGAACAGGCUCAGGCUUGGGGAAGGGCACAAACUCAGGACUAGGAGUUCAGAUGCAAAUUUGCUGCUCAUUCACUUGGGAAUGUUAUUUAACCCCUCUGCUGCCUUAUUUCUCUCGUCUGUAAAAUGGGAUAAUACCCAUGUCAACCUGAUAGGAUUCUCCAGAGAAAUUAAAGGAGCUGAUGAUCAUAAAGCCCUCCCCCCUCGUCUCCCAUCUCAAGAGUCUGAGGAAAGGACCUGCUAAACCCAUGACUCAAUGACUGAUGAUGCUCUGAAGUAUUACUUCCUUUUGGGGUGUCUGCAUUAAGCGCCCCUACACUGCCAGAAUGGCUCUCUGCAUCCAGACCGCAGCAAGCUGGUGCUGGGGGUGGUGGCGAUACAAACGGUAGAGCAGAAGCUGAGAGCAGUCAUCCUAGGAGACGACCCUGCAGUCUCACCCGGGAGGCAGGAGCUCUUGUUUAAGCACAGCCCUACCUGCCAUUCGCCAGGAAUUCAGUGGCCCUGCCAACCCUUAACUUGGAGUCCACCUGACGGUGCUCCCACACAAGGACUCCCUUCCUGGGACAAGACCCGGCUUGAGGUUAGAAUCAGAAGGCUUUUCCUCUCACUGGCAGCGCAGGGCUGGGAAUAUUCCGUCCUGCAAGCCUCCUUGCUCCCGGGAGUGGGCGGGUCCUGGACAGGACACAGCCCUGUGCACUCGGGUUCACGGCGCUGCUCCGACCUCAGCGGACUUAGGCUCUCAAAGAGAAGAACCAUGAUUCACGUAGCACGUGACAGACGACAAAGCACUCUCUACGUACAGAGUGUCAUAUAAAUGCCACUUCAGGUGGUGCAGAUACACCACAAACCAACCUUUGAUUUCUUCCAUCCGAUCUGAAAAUAUUGAGAGUGGUAUUUGGGACCAUCUCUAGAACCUGACCAGGCGGAUUCCCAGGGCUUCAAGAUCUACAGUCUGAGCUAACCAAGAAAGAGGAUUUAAAAUUAUGUAUGUAUCCAGGGCAAAUGAAAAAGGUGGUGGAGAGUCCCCAAACUCCAGUUUCAGAAGAUUUCAGAGCUAGGAUUUUAAUCUUACGUGGGGUAAACAUCUGCCUGGUAUUCAGUGGGAAAAGGACGCAAAGCCAACUUGCUCAAGGCUUGUUACAUUCAGUGGAAAUACCAACACACAUGCCGCUCAACCACGAGCCCUCAGAUGCCCCGCAGGCCUCCCAGUCACACAGACCACACCCUUGCAGCAGCCUCCACCGGGCAGGAGAGCCGCCUGCAGCCUGGCCCGUGCUCCCUGACCUUCCACGGCGCGGCCCUCUGGUGGGUGAAGCCCGGUCAGGCCCUCCCUCCGUGUCUGGGGACCCGGGGUGACCUGCCUUGCCUCUGCCAUUUAUCCUGCCCCUCCCCCCUCCCUUGCUUCUUGAGACUUGUUCCUCUGCCACUCCCCAGACGGAGCCACCUCCUGGGUCCCCCCCCUUGGCACACUCAAGCCUGGUCAUGCCAGGGUAGCAACCCCGGUGGGCACGGCAGCCCCACCAAGGAGGCCUUCGAGAAGUAUUUUUCAACAAAAGUCUGUCCCACAGUGUGGCUCUGUGCUGGCGCUGAGUAACCAAGACAACCAGCUAUGAAGUAAAAACAGACAGUUGUGGGACUUACGGGGCUGAGCAAAGCAUCUAGGAUCAUUUCUCCUUUAACCACAGUCUGAUCUUGCAUGAAGAAGCCAGAAUCCUUACACAGGUUCUUACUGCUCAAGGAGGUGCAAACCACUGGAGAUUUGGCUGUGUACACCUGUUUUUCUCAAAGUCCCCCAAUUCCACCCCCACUUCCCCCGCCACAGUCACCCACCCAUCUCUUCCCAGAUUUAUGGAUGCAAGUCCCAUAAGCAUGGGCCAGUGGACCACGAGGAUAAUGAUGUUCGUUCCUCCGGGAACAUCAGAGGCACUGGCCGAGCUGUACUUCUCACUCAGUUCCCAGGGCGGUAUCCAAGGGCACGGCCUCACCACGCUUUGACCAAGAGCAUCACUUUAGAACCUAAGAGCUGAGGACUCUGCUCACACUUACGUGCUC